rnacentral:rRNA from 1 species
GAUGAACUAAGCCAUGCGAGUCAUUGUAGCAAUACAAGGCAGACGGCUCAGUAACGCGUAGUCAAUCUACCCUAUGGACGGGAAUAACCUCGUGAAACUGAGAAUAAUGCCCGAUAGAACAUUAUACCUGGAACGGUUUAUGUUUCAAAUGAUUUAUCGCCGUAGGAUGGGACUGCGGCCUAUCAGUUUGUUGGUGAGGUAAUGGCCCACCAAGACUAUUACAGGUACGGGCUCUGAGAGGAGUAGCCCGGAGAUGGGUACUGAGACACGGACCCAGGCCCUAUGGGGCGCAGCAGGCGAGAAAACUUUGCAAUGUGCGAAAGCACGACAAGGUUAAUCCGAGUGGUUUCUGCUAAAGAAACCUUUUGCUAGUCCUAGAAACACUAGUGAAUAAGGGGUGGGCAAGUUCUGGUGUCAGCCGCCGCGGUAAAACCAGCACCUCAAGUGGUCAGGAUGAUUAUUGGGCCUAAAGCAUCCGUAGCCCGUUUUGUAAGUUUUCGGUUAAAUCCAUACGCUCAACGUAUGGGCUGCCGGGAAUACUGCAUAACUAGGAAGUGGGAGAGGUAGACGGUACUCGGUAGGAAGGGGUAAAAUCCUUUGAUCUAUUGAUGACCACCUGUGGCGAAGGCGGUCUACCAGAACACGUUCGACGGUGAGGGAUGAAAGCUGGGGGAGCAAACCGGAUUAGAUACCCGGGUAGUCCCAGCUGUAAACUAUGCAAACUCAGUGAUGCAUUGGCUUGUGGCCAAUGCAGUGCUGCAGGGAAGCCGUUAAGUUUGCCGCCUGGGAAGUACGUACGCAAGUAUGAAACUUAAAGGAAUUGGCGGGGGAGCACCACAAGGGGUGAAGCCUGCGGUUCAAUUGGAGUC